CCUGUAACACACCUGUGACUCACCUGUAAUUUAAUAGUAUAGCACCUGUAACACACCUGUAACUCACCUGUAACAUGCCUGUAGUUCACCUGUUUGACUGAGCAAUUGCUCAGCUGAGGAACUAAAUUCCUUACCCAGAAAAAAACACUUCGGUGUGUUCUUGUUUUAGUUACAACAAAAAAGUUUUUUAUCAUAUAAAAGUUGGAUAAGGUGCUUCUGUAUGUAAGAGAGAGAGAGACUGAGGUCAGGGGGGGUGAGAGAACAGGGAGAGGGGAAGAUUCAUCAGUAAAACAGGAAGAGAGAGAGAGCAGAGAGAGGAAGUGUCUGUUCACUAACAGAAGUAAUCCUGAGAGACUGGUAUUGCAGUGAGGCAGCAGUGCUACCCACUGUGGUAUGUGCAUGUCAGACUCACACCCUGCUAUGUGUGUCAGACAAAGGAAGAGAAAUAUUGAGAGGUCUACUCCUGAAACAGAAAAAACUGUGUAGUACAAAUACCGUUUUUGUGUCUAUGGGAAUGAAGGAAGAAAAGGAGAGGGAUUGGUUGGGAGAUAAAAGAGUUUCACUGAUCCUGUGGAAACCCAACCUGGUGGAAACAAGAGGACUCCAGAAAAGAUCACAGCUCUCUCUCUCUCUCCCACACACACACACACUCACACACACACACACACACACACAAACACACACAUACGUCAAACUUUGCCACAACGACCAAAGAUUCCAUCAAAUGGUGAUGCCUUUUCUGGCAGCUAAAGCUGCCCUGACAGAUCCAUUAACCAAAAUGGGACCCUGAUGGAUGUGGUGCUUUUUUGGUCCAGAAGGACACCGUACUAGAGAACUCUGUACAGCAAAAACACUGAAAGAUGGAACUCACUUUUCAGGGCAACAAUAAUCAGAAUCUUCACUCAGUGAAGUUGGCUUAGACUGUGUUAAACCAUAAACAAUAUUUAUGUUUUAUAUUUUAUUACACCUUAGUGUAAUAGGGGCUGAAGGUCAAGCUGGCAGACAGGCAGGAGUUGACACAGUAACCUGACGAGCGCUUUUCCAAAAUGGACACUAGCCUGAAAUGGCCCUAUUUUAAAACCUCACACACAGGGAACAUGAGAGACAUGGAGCUUAUUGAACUGGACAUUCCGAGCCUCUCUACCAGCCCCAGCGCUGACAUCACUGCCAGCCCCAGCGCUGACAUCACUGCCAGCCCCAGCGCUGACAUCACUACCAGCCCCAGCGCUGACAUCACUACCAGCCCCAAUGCUGACAUCACUACCAGCCCCAGCGCUGACAUCACUACCAGCCCCAGCGCUGAUAUCACUGCCAGCCCCAGCGCUGACAUCACUACCAGCCCCAGCGCUGACAUCACUACCAGCCCCAAUGCUGACAUCACUACCAGCCCCAGCGCUGACAUCACUGCCAGCCCCAGCGUUGACAUCACUACCAGCCUCAAUGCUGACAUCACUACCAGCCCCAAUGCUGACCGCAGCCAUGCUGAAAUCCUUAACCAUGCUGGCACCAGCACUGACACCUUUGGUGAUAACGCAGGGCAGCCCCCUCUCCCCCC